GGAAACCAGAGACAUAUCUGAGAUUAUCCACAUAGUCUGAAUCCCAGCCCAGAGAGGUUCAUGUUCCUGAGUACCUCGUGCCUAAGAGCAAAACAGCUGAGGAGAAGGGUGCUGGAUCUGCUCCCACAGCUUUUUGGGGACAGCCACAGCAGAGAGGCUCCUCCUGUCCCCUGCACCCCACGCUCCUGCUGCUCCAACACCACUGCACAUCUGAGACUCAAGCUGUAAAAAUACUGUUAUAAAGAACAGUUUUCCAAUUGAUAGAAAUAAAUGAGAUGAUCUUGUGCUUGAAUGUUAGCA
rnacentral:lncRNA from 1 species